rnacentral:rRNA from 1 species
AGGGCACCACCAGGAGUGGAGCCUGCGGCUUAAUUUGACUCAACACGGGAAAACUUACCUGGUCCUGACACUAGAAGGAUUGACAGAUUGAUAGCUCUUUCUUGAUUUGGUGGAUGGUGGUGCAUGGCCGUUCUUAGUUGGUGGAGUGAUUUGUCUGGUUAAUUCCGAUAACGAACGAGACUCUAGCCUAUUAAAUAACACACAGAAUCUUGUCUUCUGUGGCGUUUCUUAAUGGGAUCAAGUGUGUUUAACGCUUUGAAACAGAGCAAUAACAGGUCUGUGAUGCCCUUAGAUGUUCGGGGCCGCACGCGCGCUACAUUGAGAGACAAAAUGAGUUUUCUAGUCUUUAAUAAGGCUAGUAAUCUUUGAACGUUUUUCUUAAUGGGGGAUAGGGGAUUGCAAUUGUGCCCCCUUGAACGAGGAAUUCCCAGUAAGUGCUAGUCAUUAGCUAGUACUGAUUACGUCCCUGCCCUUUGUACACGCCGCCCGUCGCUACUACCGAUUGAAUGGAUUAGUGAG